AGUGAACGCUGGCGGUAGGCCUAACACAUGCAAGUCGAACGGCAGCACAGGAGAGCUUGCUCUCUGGGUGGCGAGUGGCGGACGGGUGAGGAAUACAUCGGAAUCUACUCUGUCGUGGGGGAUAACGUAGGGAAACUUACGCUAAUACCGCAUACGACCCACGGGUGAAAGCAGGGGACCUCGGGCCUUGCGCGAUUGAAUGAGCCGAUGUCGGAUUAGCUAGUUGGCGGGGUAAAGGCCCACCAAGGCGACGAUCCGUAGCUGGUCUGAGAGGAUGAUCAGCCACACUGGAACUGAGCCACGGUCCAGACUCCUACGGGAGGCAGCAGUGGGGAAUAUUGGACAAUGGGCGCAAGCCUGAUCCAGCCAUACCGCGUGGGUGAAGAAGGCCUUCGGGUUGUAAAGCCCUUUUGUUGGGAAAGAAAUCCAGCUGGCUAAUACCCGGUUGGGAUGACGGUACCCAAAGAAUAAGCACCGGCUAACUUCGUGCCAGCAGCCGCAGUAA
rnacentral:rRNA from 1 species